UUAAAUUGAAGAGUUUGAUCAUGGCUCAGAUUGAACGCUGGCGGCAGGCCUAACACAUGCAAGUCGAGCGGAAACGAGUUGU
rnacentral:rRNA from 1 species